UAGAGUUUGUAGACUUCGGUCUGCUACCUCUUACCCAUGUCUUCUGAGUACCUUCGUUUCCUCGGCGAGUCCGCCCGCCGACUGGACAACAUUCAAACCCUUUGCAGUUGCAAUCAGCGUCUGAAAAAACAUAAUAGUUACAACUUUCAACAACGGAUCUCUUGGUUCU
rnacentral:misc_RNA from 1 species